GAUAACGGCAAAUCUAUAUGUACACGUUGUAAACUUUCUUUUACGACGAAUCUUUUAAAAUGCAUCUUUUUGCAGGAAUUAGACGCUUUAAAAAUUGUGUUCUUUUUUUUCUGGCCAUGUUAUUAUCGGAAUUGAUUGUAUUUUAUCGUGUUUUUGGUUCUGAAUACGUGGUUUGGAUCACCAACGGGUACACACGUAUCAAUGACAUUAUCGAUUAACUGGCACAGACUCUACUUGUUUUGGUUUCGUGUAAAAAAUAAUAUUGCGCAUGUUAAGGUUUGAAUAGGAAUUUAAUUUCUAUACAUUUUUAUCUGCUGAAAAUGGAUUAAAAAACGAUCUGAAAUGUACAUAUUUAAUGCAUACUUGUGAAAUUAAACAACAAAAAAUUUGCGC